rnacentral:misc_RNA from 1 species
UUGGAAUUUGCAGGAGGCUGUUGCUGUCCCCAUCCCCUUGGGUAUGUGCACGUCUCUUGUGUCUUAUCUCCCACUUGUGCAUUGAUUUGUAGACUACCUUUGGUGUCUAUGAUAAAAAUAUACAUUACACAUACAUUGAAUGUAUCAGUUUUUGAGGCCCUUUUAUGCGCCUUUAUAAACAAAUAUA